UACGGGGGGUGCAAGCGUUGUUCGGAUUUACUGGGCGUAAAGGGCGCGUAGGCGGCGUGACAAGUCACUUGUGAAAUCUCCGGGCUUAACUCGGAGCGGUCAAGUGAUACUGUCGUGCUAGAGUGCGGAAGGGGCUACUGGAAUUCUCGGUGUAGCGGUGAAAUGCGUAGAUAUCGAGAGGAACACCUGCGGCGAAGGCGGGUAGCUGGGCCGACACUGACGCUGAUGCGCGAAAGCCAGGGGAGCGAACGGG
rnacentral:rRNA from 1 species